rnacentral:rRNA from 1 species
AUUGAACGCUGGCGGCAUGCCUUACACAUGCAAGUCGAACGGUAACGCGGGGCAACCUGGCGACGAGUGGCGAACGGGUGAGUAAUGCAUCGGAACGUGCCUGGUAGUGGGGGAUAACUGCUCGAAAGAGCAGCUAAUACCGCAUACGACCUGAGGGUGAAAGGGGGGGAUCGCAAGACCUCUCGCUAUCAGAGCGGCCGAUGUCGGAUUAGCUAGUUGGUGGGGUAAAGGCCCACCAAGGCGUCGAUCCGUAGCUGGUCUGAGAGGACGACCAGCCACACUGGGACUGAGACAUGGCCCAGACUCCUACGGGAGGCAGCAGUGGGGAAUUUUGGACAAUGGACGCAAGUCUGAUCCAGCCAUGCCGCGUGCGGGAAGAAGGCCUUCGGGCUGUAAACCGCUUUUGUCAGGGAAGAAAUCUUCUGGGUUAAUACCUCGGGAGGAUGACGGUACCUGAAGAAUAAGCACCGGCUAACUACGUGCCAGCCGCCGCCGUAA